rnacentral:rRNA from 1 species
UACAGAGGGUGCGAGCGUUUGUUCGGAAUUAUUGGGCGUAAAGGGCGCGUAGGCGGUGCGGUAAGUCACCUGUGAAAUCUCCUGGCUCAACUGGGAGCUUGCAGGCGAAACUGCCGUGCUGGAGUGUGGGAGAGGUGCGUGGAAUUCCUGGUGUAGCGGUGAAAUGCGUAGAUAUCAGGAGGAACACCUGUGGCGAAAGCGGCGCACUGGACCACAACUGACGCUGAGGCGCGAAGCUAGGGGAGCAAACAGG